GUCCCCGUAGCUUACAAUAAAGCAUGGCACUGAAGAUGCCAAGAUGGCCUCACUCUAACCCGGGGACA
rnacentral:tRNA from 1 species